CCUACGGGUGGCAGCAGUGGGGAAUAUUGGGCAAUGGGCGCAAGCCUGACCCAGCAACGCCGCGUGAAUGAAGAAGGCUUUCGGGUUGUAAACUUCUUUUAUCAGGGAUGAAGACAGUGACGGUACCCGAGGAAUAAGCCACGGCUAACUACGUGCCAGCAGCCGCGGUAAUACGUAGGUGGCAAGCGUUAUCCGGAUUGAUUGGGUGUAAAGGGCGCGUAGGCGGGUGAGUAAGUCAGAUGUGAAAACUCAGGGCUCAACCCUGGGCCUGCAUUUGAAACUGUGUUGCUUGAGUGCUGGAGAGGCAAGCGGAAUUCCGAGUGUAGCGGUGAAAUGCGUAGAUAUACGGAGGAACACCAGUGGCGAAGGCGGAUUGCUGGACAGUAACUGACGCUGAGGCGCGAAAGCGUGGGGAGCAAACAGGAUUAGAUACCCCAGUAGUC
rnacentral:rRNA from 1 species